UAUAAAUACACAUUUCCGUUUCCUCGAAGGAAAUUCGGAAUAAGGUGCAGGGGGCCAAUUUCAACUGCGGGGAAAUUUCAACUAAUCGCAAUAUCUUCCACGUUUUACAUUAUUAACUAUAUACUUAAGAUAUUAGAGUUCGAUAUAUAUGCCCAGAUAGCGAAAUAGAUGUGUUGUGUGUCUCUAGUUAAUAAUGUAAAAUUUGACGGUAUUUCGAUUAAGUACGGUACGGUGGAGAACUUGCUUUGCGAAAUCCGUAGGUAUCUACCAUACCUACCUAAUGGAAUAUAUUUUUAUUGAUUAGGUACUGGUGUUAUAUUGCUCACUCGGCCUAAUAUUAAAUUAUUCUUGGGGAGUUGAAGAAUCUACGCCAAAAAAGGGAGCACAUCUCGAAGCAGUUAUUGCGCCCUCCGAUAAUUACUCCGAAGUUGACUUGAACGAAGACUCAUCGAUCUGGCAAUUCUGGCGGCCUUGGAAAUUAUGGAACUGGGGUCGCAAUUUGAUGAACGAAGAAUAUCAUGAAAAUGCGAAGAGCAGUUAUGGAUACGGAAGACACGGGAUUUUCCAUCGAGACCAAAAAAGAUCUAAGAUUAAAAACAAAAUAAAAUUCCUUGUUAAAAUACACCAAUUUCAAACUUAA